AGGGUAAUCAUGCUUGGAAAUAGCUUGAUGUCUGCAACCCGGUGGAUGGUCAGUAUGGAGGAGAAGGUAUUUUUCCAGCCUGAGCAACUACAUGACUUUGCCAGCGUCCUUGCUGUCUUUUUUGGGUCAUAUUAUGUCUUCAAUCUGGAGUAUCAGGUGUCAGCAUCCACCACGGUGGAGAUGAUACAACGAUUCUUUGUGAGGAUCAAUCCAGAUGUUGGUACCAAAUGCACAGCCAAAGUCGGUACAAGCCG